rnacentral:rRNA from 1 species
AGAUAUUCAAUGCUGGAAGGCUUUGAUAUCGAAAGCGCAAGCGCCAGAGGGUGAGUCUGCGGCUAUCAGGUAGUAGGUGGUGUAACGGACCACCUAGCCUAAGACGGGUACGGGCCUUGAGAGAGGGAGCCCGGAGAUGGGUUCUGAGACACGAACCCAGGCCCUACGGGGCGCAGCAGGCGCGAAACCUUCGCACUGCGCGAAAGCGCGACGAGGGGAGCCCGAGUGCCUCUCCAUUUCGGGGAGGCUUUUCACAAGCCUAAAAAGCUUGUGGAAUAAGGGCUGGGCAAGACGGGUGCCAGCCGCCGCGGUAAUACCCGCAGCUCGAGUGGUGGUCGCUUUUAUUGAGCCUAAAACGUUCGUAGUCGGCCUUGUAAAUCCCUGGGUAAAUCGGACCGCUUAACGGUUCGAAUUCCGGGGAGACUGCAAGGCUAGGGACCGGGCGAGGUCAGAGGUACUUUCGGGGUAGGAGUGAAAUCCUGUAAUCCCGAAGGGACCACCUGUGGCGAAAGCGUCUGACUUGAACGGCUCCGACGAUGAGGAACGAAGGCUAGGGGAGCAAACCGGAUUAGAUACCUGGGUAGUCCUAGCUGUAAACUCUGCCCGCUUGGUGUGGCCUGUCCUUCGGGGGCAGGCUGUGCCGGAGCGAAGGUGUUAAGCGGGCUGCUUGGGGAGUACGGCCGCAAGGUUGAAACUUAAAGGAAUUGGCGGGGGAGCACCGCAACGGGAGGAUGCGUGCGGUUUAA